rnacentral:rRNA from 1 species
UACGAAGGUGGCAAGCGUUGUUCGGAUUUACUGGGCGUACAGGGCGCGUAGGCGGUUGGGUAAGCCCUUCGUGAAAUCUCCGGGCCUAACCCGGAAAGUGCGGAGGGGACUGCUCGGCUAGAGGAUGGGAGAGGAGCGCGGAAUUCCCGGUGUAGCGGUGAAAUGCGUAGAGAUCGGGAGGAAGGCCGGUGGCGAAGGCGGCGCUCUGGAACAUUUCUGACGCUGAGGCUCGAAAGCGUGGGGAGCAAACAGG